rnacentral:rRNA from 1 species
AAGGGCACCACAAGAACGCGUGGAGCAUGUGGCUUAAUUUGACUCAACGCGGGAAAACUUACCGGGUCCGGACACACUGAGGAUUGACAGGCGAUAAAUUAUGCUAGUCCUUUCAUGAUUGUGUGAUAGGUGGUGCAUGGCUGUUCUUAGUUCGUGGAGUGAUCUGUCUGCUUAAUUGCGUUUCAAAUAAAAAGUGUCGAUCGCUCUGUGAGGUAUGUUGUCUACGGGCACAUAUCGCGCAGGCACGACACUAUGAAGGCAACGAACGUGACCG